rnacentral:pre_miRNA from 1 species
UCAGCUUUUUCUGAACUCUCUCCCUCAUAGGCUUCUCAAAACUUGCCUAUCAAACCUCCACAUAAAUUGGCAAGAUUGAGAAGAAGCCUAUGGUGAGAAAGUUCAAAAAAAGUUUG